UACGGAGGGUGCAAGCGUUGUCCGGAUUUAUUGGGCUUAAAGGGUGCGUAGGCGGUUUAGUAAGUCAGUGUUUAAAGUCAAUAGCUCAACUAUUGGUAUGGCAUUGAUACUGCUGAACUUGAGUACAGUUGAGGUGGGCGGAAUUCCUGGUGUAGCGGUGAAAUGCGCAGAUAUCAGGAAGAACACCCGUGGCGAAGGCGGCUCUCUGGGACGGUACUGACGCUGAGACGCGAAAGCGUGGGGAGCGAACAGG
rnacentral:rRNA from 1 species